rnacentral:sRNA from 1 species
AUGUACCACUCGUACAUUCCGGUUCCUCCGCGCCGUCCACACCCACCUGACGACCGCUCGCUACGUCCUGUGAGCC